GUGACAAAUGCAAUGCAUACUUAAAAAUAAAUAAGUGGCACAGGAAUAUAUUUAAAAAUAGAAAUUUAAAAUAGUGUCUAGUUUGUCUUGAAUGUUAUAUUGAAUCUAAACUAAAUGAUGUUGAUUUUUUCUAGACGAAAGAAAUGAGAAUGAUAAAAUUCUAGACCAAAUUGUUCCUUUUUAGAGCAUUGCUCUUAGGAUUGUGUUUUGCUAUACUAUUUAAUAAUUUUAUUAGUAAUGUUUGCUUUGUAUUUAUAAAGGUAACAAUUUGUCUUAAGUAUAAAGUAAUUCGUAAAAAAAAAAUUAAGUAUAAUGAAGAACUUAAAAAAAAUGCAACAUAAGACAAACUUGAAGUAAAAUCAGAAAAAUGUAUAUCUUGUACGAGAUUUGGAGAUAAUUAUGUUAAAAUAUUGCAGGUAAUGGCUAUUCAAUUCUUUUUACACUAUAAAAAAAUAUAUUUUAAUAAUGCAAAAUAGUAUGUAAGUUUAAUAUAACUCAUGCCUCAGAAUAACAGAUUUUGGAUAAGUGGUAAAAAAACUUAAACAUUAACAUGAUAGUAAAUAUUUUAAGCAUAAAGAGCCACUUUAUCUUGUAUUUUGUGUACAAAUAUAACUUAAAAAUAAAGAAACGCAAAAAGAGAGCUUAGUAGGAAUUUGACAUUUUUUAUUUUGAUAUUUAAAUGAAAAAAAAUUUGGAUGGAGUCCAAGAUUCAUAGGUUAUUUAUAAGAAUAUACAAAAAAUGUAUCUCACGUAUUACUACGGUGUAACAAAGCAUAUGAAAUUACUUAGGAUUUGUAGUUUAUCUUGUUAUUAAAUAAUUGUGCAUUUACUAAAAUGUUUUUUAUGUUUAGGAUAUGGAUGACAUAACUUGAACAGCAAUCUCAUAUGUGUGUACCAACUCCCGUUAUUGCUGGGUGGAAUGCGGAUAACAUGAAAACUUCACGCCACAGAGGUAUUGACCUUGGCCAAGUGGGGUGAAAAAUGUGGGUGCUAAGACAAUUUAUAAAAAAGAAGUAACUGUGUUAAGAGUUGAAAUAAAAAGAACUACCAUCA